UACGGAGGGUGCAAGCGUUGUCCGGAUUUAUUGGGUUUAAAGGGUGCGUAGGUGCUCUUAGUACUGACCUGAAAGUGGGCCGCUUAACGGCACAGGGUGGUUGGAUACUGAGAAGCUUGAAGAGGGUGGAGGCCGCCGGAACGGAUCGUGUAGCGGUGAAAUGCAUAGAGAUGAUCCAGAACCCCGAUUGCGAAGGCAGGCGGCUACGCCCCACUUGACACUGAGGCACGAGAGCAUGGGGAGCAAACAGG
rnacentral:rRNA from 1 species